rnacentral:rRNA from 1 species
AUUGAACGCUGGCGGCAGGCCUAACACAUGCAAGUCGAGCGAGCGGCGGACGGGUGAGUAAUGUCUGGGAAACUGCCUGAUGGAGGGGGAUAACUACUGGAAACGGUAGCUAAUACCGCAUACAGUCGGAUCUGCCCAGAUGGGAUGAGCUAGUAGGUGGGGUAAAGGCUCACCUGGACGACGAUCCCUAGCUGGUCUGAGGAGAUGACCAGCCACACUGGGAACGAGACACGGUCCAGACUCCUACGGGAGGCAGAAGAGGGGAAUAUUGCACAAGGGGCGCAAGCCUGAUGCAGCCGUGCCGCGUGUAUGAAGAAGGCCUGCGGGUUGUAAAGUACUUUCAGCGAGGAGGCGUUAAUCGCAGAAGAAGCAACGGCUACCUCCGUGCCAGACGCCGCGGUAAUUA